rnacentral:rRNA from 1 species
AUUGAACGCUGGCGGCAUGCUUUACACAUGCAAGUCGGACGAGUGGCGAACGGGUGAGUAACGCAUCGGAACGUACCGAGUCAUGGGGGAUAACUGUCCGAAAGGACAGUUAAUACCGCAUAUUAUUCGAGCGGCCGAUGUCUGAUUCGCUGGUUGGCGGGGUAAAGGCCCACCAAGGCGACGAUCAGUAGCGGGUCUGAGAGGAUGAUCCGCCCCACUGGGACUACGACACGGCCCAGACUCCUACGGGGGUCAGCAGUGGGGAAUUUUGGACAAAGUGCGCAAGCCUGAUCCAGCCAUGCCGCGUGUCUGAAGAAGGCCUUCGGGUUGUAAAGGACUUUUGUCAGGGAAGCGGUACCUGAAGAAUAAGCACCGGCUAACUACGUGCCAGCCACCGCGGUAAUUC